rnacentral:lncRNA from 1 species
UUUGCGAGUCAUUAAUUGCUGCGGCUGAAUUGCAACGGUAGCUCAAUAAAAUCAAAUUUAGUUUUUCACAUCUCCCAGGCAGUGAAUCUAGAGCUACGGGUUAUGAAACCGCAUGAAAUCUUUUGCAAUUAGAACAGAGUGAUCUUUAUUAAGUGGCCUGCGCUAUGCAAAGCACCACCAGCGCUGUUCACAGGUCUCUGAUUUACUGCACUUCAUUUAUCGAAGUGUGUACAUCAGAGCAGAGGUAAUUUCCCAUAAUGCGAGCAGGGUGUGAGUACAAUGAAGCCUAGAUGGUAAAUAAUUGCAACCUUUUUGAGAUGCUUUUGUGCGGUGACGUUUUAUUGAUGUUUCUUCAUCAUCACUCUCAGCUGAGUACAAGAAAAAUAAAACAGGCGCCCGAAUGCCUAGGAAACCAUUUCAGAAAGAUGAUCCGAACAUUUCCGCCUUCCGUGAAUUUGACAGAGUGGUGAAUGUGUGAGGGAUUGCUGCUUCCAAAGGGGAGGCAUCGUAGUAAAUGAUGCAAAUUGGCAGGAUUACAGAAUGUAAUGAAUCCAAAGAAGAUUUCAAAAUAUAAUUGGAAAGGGUGUCAAAGAAAAAAAAAAUGGUUAGUCUGUUUUAUCUGUUAGUGGGACUUGAGCUUACAUCCUAUUAAGAAUUUUAGCCGUGCCAGAGAAAAAGAAAGAUGAAAUGUAGCGCCGACACUCAUGAGCACUAUUACUGAACAAUAACCUGCGUGUAGGGGGAUUGCAGAAGAGUUGUCACGGGUUCUUCAUUGUUCUUUAACUCCUAAGGGAAGAGAAAAUCUGUGUCUUAGAAAUUUUUUCCCUGCAUUUUGACUUCUGCAUUUCCUUAUGCUAAUCAGACUUGGGUGAGGUGAAGUAUGCUUAUGGAGAGUGAAUUAAGUGCUUCGAGCCGCUGCGUCUCUCGCCUGCAGGAAGCAGUGCUAACGAGCAGUGCCAUGCGGCCUGGCAGCGAAGGGGUGGCACGGCCUGCAGCCCCUGCCCCACUGCUCCCAUCCCCACGGACACAAAGUGCCCCUUCCUUCUGCAGUCGUCCUUCUUGCAUCACCAGAAAAAGUGCACAGUCAUUCCCUCUUCUCCUUCCUCUUCCCAGCACCCAGCCUACAACUCCACUAGAAAACCUGUCUGGAAAACAGAUGGUGCCAUCCGGGAAUGUGAAUAAAGACGUGGGGAGCCCCCAGGCUCAAGCUCUCAGAAGCAGACAACAAGCACAGCCUCUGUGUGCAGGAGGGGAGGACCUGCGCCCUGAGAGCGCACCAACGAUGUCACCAUGUCACUGCAAGCAGGGCGAGCAACAAGGGACAGGAACGCUGCCCGCAGACCUGAGGCUGCUGCUGUGUGGGAGCUGUGCCAGGCAUGCUAUGGGCACCAGGAAAACCCAGGGAGGGAUGUUCAUCAGCUCUGGGGAACAUCAAACCUUUGGAUGAGCACAAGUCUUCAAAUGAUGCUGAGGGCAGAGGAAGAGACAAGCGUUUGGUCCAUGUAAAUAAAUCAACACCAAGAAAGACA